rnacentral:rRNA from 1 species
GCUUUAUCUUAAUUGGAGCUUUCAGGCUCUUAUACGAUUUUGAUGGGAGAUCAGUAGAAAUAAGUCUUCUACUAUUAUAUUAAUCUUACUAGUAUUUCCUAACUUUAUAUGUGUGGCUAGCUACUCUAGGGAUAACAGCGCAAUUUCUCCCGAAAGAUGGUAUUGGAGGGGAAGAUUGCGACCUCGAUGUUGGCUUUAGAUACCCUAGAGGCGUAGAAGCUUCU